UGGGGAAUUUUGGACAAUGGGGGCAACCCUGAUCCAGCCAUGCCGCGUGAGUGAAGAAGGCCUUCGGGUUGUAAAGCUCUUUCGGCGGGGACGAAACGGUCCGGGUGAAUAAUCCGGACUACUGACGGUACCCGCAGAAGAAGCACCGGCUAACUACGUGCCAGCAGCCGCGGUAAUACGUAGGGUGCGAGCGUUAAUCGGAAUUACUGGGCGUAAAGCGUGCGCAGGCGGAUAUCCAAGUCUGAUGUGAAAUCCCCGGGCUUAACCUGGGAACUGCGUUGGAAACUGGAUAUCUAGAGUGUGUCAGAGGGAGGUAGAAUUCCACGUGUAGCAGUGAAAUGCGUAGAGAUGUGGAGGAAUACCGAUGGCGAAGGCAGCCUCCUGGGAUAACACUGACGCU
rnacentral:rRNA from 1 species